rnacentral:rRNA from 1 species
GAUGAACGCUGGCGGCGUGCCUAAUACAUGCAAGUCGAGCGAACGGACGAGAAGCUUGCUUCUCUGAUGUUAGCGGCGGACGGGUGAGUAACACGUGGAUAACCUACCUAUAAGACUGGGAUAACUUCGGGAAACCGGAGCUAAUACCGGAUAAUAUUUUGAACCGCAUGGUUCAAAAGUGAAAGACGGUCUUGCUGUCACUUAUAGAUGGAUCCGCGCUGCAUUAGCUAGUUGGUAAGGUAACGGCUUACCAAGGCAACGAUGCAUAGCCGACCUGAGAGGGUGGUCGGCCACACUGGAACUGAGACACGGUCCAGACUCCUACGGGAGGCAGCAGUAGGGAAUCUUCCGCAAUGGGCGAAAGCCUGACGGAGCAACGCCGCGUGAGUGAUGAAGGUCUUCGGAUCGUAAAACUCUGUUAUUAGGGAAGAACAUAUGUGUAAGUAACUGUGCACAUCUUGACGGUACCUAGUCAGAAAGCCACGGCUAACUACGUG